AGGGGUAUAGCUCAAUUGUAGGGCACGUGCUUAGCAUGCAUGAGGCCCUGGGUUCAAUCAACUCUCAGUACCUCCA
rnacentral:tRNA from 1 species